rnacentral:rRNA from 2 species
GUCUGAUGGAGCACGCCGCGUGAGUGAUGAAGGUUUUCGGAUCGUAAAACUCUGUUGUUAAAGAAGAACAAGUGUUAGAGUAACUGUUAACACUUUGACGGUAUUUAACCAGAAAGCCACGGCUAACUACGUGCCAGCAGCCGCGGUAAUACGUAGGUGGCAAGCGUUGUCCGGAUUUAUUGGGCGUAAAGCGAGCGCAGGCGGUUUUGUAAGUCUGCUGUGAAAGCCCUCAGCUCAACUGAGGAAGUGCAGUGGAAACUACAAAACUUGAGUACAGAAGAGGAAAGUGGAACUCCAUGUGUAGCGGUGAAAUGCGUAGAUAUAUGGAAGAACACCAGUGGCGAAGGCGGCUUUCUGGUCUGUUACUGACGCUGAGGCUCGAAAGCAUGGGUAGCGAACAGGAUUAGAUACCCUGGUAGUCCAUGCCGUAAACGAUGAAUACUAGGUGUUGGAGGGUUUCCGCCCUUCAGUGCCGCAGCUAACGCAUUAAGUAUUCCGCCUGGGGAGUACGACCGCAAGGUUGAAACUCAAAGGAAUUGACGGGGGCCCGCACAAGUGGUGGAGCAUGUGGUUUAAUUCGAUGCUACGCGAAGAACCUUACCAGCUCUUGACAUCUUCUGCCAACCCAAGAGAUUGGGCGUUCCCUUCGGGGACAGAAUGACAGGUGGUGCAUGGUUGUCGUCAGCUCGUGUCGUGAGAUGUUGGGUUAAGUCCCGCAACGAGCGCAACCCUUAUUAUUAGUUGCCAGCAUUUAGUUGGGCACUCUAGUGAGACUGCCGGUGAUAAACCGGAGGAAGGUGGGGACGACGUCAAAUCAUCAUGCCCCUUAUGAGCUGGGCUACACACGUGCUACAAUGGAUGGUACAACGAGUCGCGAAACCGCGAGGUCAAGCUAAUCUCUUAAAGCCAUUCUCAGUUCGGAUUGCAGGCUGCAACUCGCCUGCAUGAAGUUGGAAUCACUAGU